rnacentral:rRNA from 1 species
UUAAGCGACUAAGCGUACACGGUGGAUGCCCUGGCAGUCAGAGGCGAUGAAGGACGUGCUAAUCUGCGAUAAGCGUCGGUAAGGUGAUAUGAACCGUUAUAACCGGCGAUUUCCGAAUGGGGAAACCCAGUGUGAUUCGUCACACUAUCAUUAACUGAAUCCAUAGGUUAAUGAGGCGAACCGGGGGAACUGAAACAUCUAAGUACCCCGAGGAAAAGAAAUCAACCGAGAUUCCCCCAGUAGCGGCGAGCGAACGGGGAGCAGCCCAGAGCCUGAAUCAGUAUGUGUGUUAGUGGAAGCGUCUGGAAAGGCGCGCGAUACAGGGUGACAGCCCCGUACACAAAAAUGCACAUGCUGUGAGCUCGAUGAGUAGGGCGGGACACGUGGUAUCCUGUCUGAAUAUGGGGGGACCAUCCUCCAAGGCUAAAUACUCCUGACUGACCGAUAGUGAACCAGUACCGUGAGGGAAAGGCGAAAAGAACCCCGGCGAGGGGAGUGAAAAAGAACCUGAAACCGUGUACGUACAAGCAGUGGGAGCACAGAGCAAUCUGUGUGACUGCGUACCUUUUGUAUGAUGGGUCAGCGACUUAUAUUCUGUAGCAAGGUUAACCGAAUAGGGGAGCCGAAGGGAAACCGAGUCUUAACUGGGCGUUAAGUUGCAGGGUAUAGACCCGAAACCCGGUGAUCUAGCCAUGGGCAGGUUGAAGGUUGGGUAACACUAACUGGAGGACCGAACCGACUAAUGUUGAAAAAUUAGCGGAUGACUUGUGGCUGGGGGUGAGAGGCCAAUCAAACCGGGAGAUAGCUGGUUCUCCCCGAAAGCUAUUUAGGUAGCGCCUCGUGAAUUCAUCUCCGGGGGUAGAGCACUGUUUCGGCAAGGGGGUCAUCCCGACUUACCAACCCGAUGCAAACUGCGAAUACCGGAGAAUGUUAUCACGGGAGACACACGGCGGGUGCUAACGUCCGUCGUGAAGAGGGAAACAACCCAGACCGCCAGCUAAGGUCCCAAAGUCAUGGUUAAGUGGGAAACGAUGUGGGAAGGCCCAGACAGCCAGGAUGUUGGCUUAGAAGCAGCCAUCAUUUAAAGAAAGCGUAAUAGCUCACUGGUCGAGUCGGCCUGCGCGGAAGAUGUAACGGGGCUAAACCAUGCACCGAAGCUGCGGCAGCGACGCUGAUGCGUUGUUGGGUAGGGGAGCGUUCUGUAAGCCUGUGAAGGUGUGCUGUGAGGCAUGCUGGAGGUAUCAGAAGUGCGAAUGCUGACAUAAGUAACGAUAAAGCGGGUGAAAAGCCCGCUCGCCGGAAGACCAAGGGUUCCUGUCCAACGUUAAUCGGGGCAGGGUGAGUCGACCCCUAAGGCGAGGCCGAAAGGCGUAGUCGAUGGGAAACAGGUUAAUAUUCCUGUACUUGGUGUUACUGCGAAGGGGGGACGGAGAAGGCUAUGUUGGCCGGGCGACGGUUGUCCCGGUUUAAGCGUGUAGGCUGGUUUUCCAGGCAAAUCCGGAAAACUAAGGCUGAGGCGUGAUGACGAGGCACUACGGUGCUGAAGCAACAAAUGCCCUGCUUCCAGGAAAAGCCUCUAAGCAUCAGGUAACAUCAAAUCGUACCCCAAACCGACACAGGUGGUCAGGUAGAGAAUACCAAGGCGCUUGAGAGAACUCGGGUGAAGGAACUAGGCAAAAUGGUGCCGUAACUUCGGGAGAAGGCACGCUGAUAUGUAGGUGAAGUCCCUCGCGGAUGGAGCUGAAAUCAGUCGAAGAUACCAGCUGGCUGCAACUGUUUAUUAAAAACACAGCACUGUGCAAACACGAAAGUGGACGUAUACGGUGUGACGCCUGCCCGGUGCCGGAAGGUUAAUUGAUGGGGUCAGCGCAAGCGAAGCUCUUGAUCGAAGCCCCGGUAAACGGCGGCCGUAACUAUAACGGUCCUAAGGUAGCGAAAUUCCUUGUCGGGUAAGUUCCGACCUGCACGAAUGGCGUAAUGAUGGCCAGGCUGUCUCCACCCGAGACUCAGUGAAAUUGAACUCGCUGUGAAGAUGCAGUGUACCCGCGGCAAGACGGAAAGACCCCGUGAACCUUUACUAUAGCUUGACACUGAACAUUGAGCCUUGAUGUGUAGGAUAGGUGGGAGGCUUUGAAGUGUGGACGCCAGUCUGCAUGGAGCCGACCUUGAAAUACCACCCUUUAAUGUUUGAUGUUCUAACGUUGACCCGUAAUCCGGGUUGCGGACAGUGUCUGGUGGGUAGUUUGACUGGGGCGGUCUCCUCCUAAAGAGUAACGGAGGAGCACGAAGGUUGGCUAAUCCUGGUCGGACAUCAGGAGGUUAGUGCAAUGGCAUAAGCCAGCUUGACUGCGAGCGUGACGGCGCGAGCAGGUGCGAAAGCAGGUCAUAGUGAUCCGGUGGUUCUGAAUGGAAGGGCCAUCGCUCAACGGAUAAAAGGUACUCCGGGGAUAACAGGCUGAUACCGCCCAAGAGUUCAUAUCGACGGCGGUGUUUGGCACCUCGAUGUCGGCUCAUCACAUCCUGGGGCUGAAGUAGGUCCCAAGGGUAUGGCUGUUCGCCAUUUAAAGUGGUACGCGAGCUGGGUUUAGAACGUCGUGAGACAGUUCGGUCCCUAUCUGCCGUGGGCGCUGGAGAACUGAGGGGGGCUGCUCCUAGUACGAGAGGACCGGAGUGGACGCAUCACUGGUGUUCGGGUUGUCAUGCCAAUGGCACUGCCCGGUAGCUAAAUGCGGAAGAGAUAAGUGCUGAAAGCAUCUAAGCACGAAACUUGCCCCGAGAUGAGUUCUCCCUGACUCCUUGAGAGUCCUGAAGGAACGUUGAAGACGACGACGUUGAUAGGCCGGAUGUGUAAGCGCAGCGAUGCGUUGAGCUAACCGGUACUAAUGAACCGUGAGGCUUAACCUU